CGUUCUCUAACUCGUGUUCUAAGCCGGUGACAAAGUUCCGAUACCAAUGUGUGCGCUGUCCGCCCUCGAGCCUCUGUGAUCGGCAUCCCCAGCGGUGUAAGAAUCUGCGGGGCCUUCGUGCUCGGCGGCAGCCGCCGGAGCGUCGCUCUCCGCCACGCUGGUGGCCGGACGACUGCCGCCUUCGCACCCCUGCCUCGAUGGAGGAAUUGCUCGACCACUUCAAUUGCCUCGGAAAGAAGUCUGCCCUCUUCGGCGUUGCCUUCUACUCUUCCCAAGCCAAUCUCAGCAGCACCAAGUCUUCUUGCAAACUAUGGUUCCAGCAUAUAUGGUAGGUGAAAGACUUCAAUCAGAACUCUCUCUCUCUCUCUCUCUCUCUCUCUCUCUCUCUCUCUCUCUAUGGCCUGCACAACCUGUCAUCAACAUGCGCCUUGGCCUUCAUUUGGUGCAUCCAUUCACAUUUCUCUACUCAUUUCGUUCCAAUUCAUCAACAGCCGUCCUCCUGCAAUCUUUGACCGCUUCUUUCCUCCUUGCUAAGUCAGGCUUCUUCCUUCCUAACCACGCAAAAACAACACGCCAAAAUAGAGCCCACCCAACCCCCUCUCCCCGCUAUAUAAACCCCACCUCCCUCUCUCCCUCCACCACAUCAAGCCAUUCCCAGUUCCAUCUGCUUCUCUUUCCUUCCCAAGCCAAUCGUUUCCCCCUUUCCAAACUCCCAUCGCUACCGACAAUGGAGGCUGGUCGUAAGCUCGUGCUUUUCACCGUGGCCAUGAUGGCCGUGGUCAUGGCUUCUUCCUUGGUCGAGAAGGUGGCCGCGGUCGAUGCUCCUGCCCCCAGCCCCACCUCCGGUGCUGUCACCGCACCCGCUGCACCUGCUGCCGUCCUUGCCUCGAUCUCCGUCCUCCUCUUCGGAUACUUCCUCUGCUGAGCGACACAGUUUUCUCCUUCUCUUACUCGUGGUUCCUUCAUUUGUUGUUCUCCUCUGUCAUGCAUGUAUUUGGUCUGAUACGUUUUGGAGGAAGAGGAAUACGUAGGAAUUGAUAUCUGCAUAUGAUGGUGAGGUGGUAAAGGAUAUGUAACAUUGUAUUUGUGUUUGAUUAUGUUGAUCUGAGUUAUUUUUUGUGGUUACAAUUACAUGAAAUGAGAGAUUGUAUUGCCUCGUCA